ACUGAAGAAAAAUUGUGACAUUUUCCUUCCCCAGAAUUACUUCGUUUUAUACAUUUCACUUCUCUUCUGAAAUCACAGCAAUGCCAGUUUGCGCCUUUUGGUCUGAGGAACGCAGGCCCUGGCCACUACCAGGAAAAAAACCUUCUGGAUUUCAGCUUUGGCAAGCUUCCUCUGUUUCUGAGACACCUCCAUCACCUGGGUUACAAUCCCAUCCAUGAUUUUCCCCAUCUCCAGGCAUUUUUCAUGGAAAGCUCCUCAUGCUUUUUAAUUCCAGUUUAUCCAUUUGUGUGGCUUUAACCUCCACAUCCAGGUCUUUCUGGCUAAACUGCAGUAUAUCCACAAUGGGGCCAAUGGACACAUAAGGGAGGCCCUAUCACAGGAACACGAACACCCGGAGUCGCUAGAAAUCAGAUUCCACCGGCUUUGCUUCAGGCCGACUUCCUAAGGAAGGCAUGAUCCUUUGCACAUGGCCUGCUAUCAACAAUCCUCUACAAUGAUUCUCAGCAUCACCUAGGGAGCUUAUGUAAAAUCUCAAAUUCCUGGGCCCUAUCCCCAGAGUUUCUUAUCAAGUAAGUCUGCAUUGGGAUCUGAGGAUUUGCAUCUCUAACAAAAAUUCCUAGGCGAUGCUCACACUGUUGGUGUAAGGUUUCCUUGAUGGAGAACUAUCAAAGCAGUCAAAGCUAUCAAAAUAAAAAAGAAUUCUGAUUGGGUGCAGUGGCUCACACCUGUCAUUCCAGCACUUUGAGAGGCCAAGGUGGGCAGAUCACAUGAGGCCAGGAGUUCAAGACCAGCCUGGCCAACAUGGCAGAAACCCCAUCUCUACUAAAAAUACCAAAA
rnacentral:lncRNA from 1 species